rnacentral:rRNA from 1 species
AAUCAGUUAUGGUUCCUUAGAUCGUUCAUACUACAUGGAUAACUGUGGUAAUUCUAGAGCUAAUACAUGCAAAAAGCUCCGACCGUAUGGGAAGAGCGCUUUUAUUAGACCAAAACCAAUGGGGUCGCAAGACUCCUUUGUAUGGUGACUCUGGAUAACUUUGUGCUGAUCGCAUGGCCUAGAGCCGGCGACGUAUCUUUCAAGUGUCUGCCCUAUCAACUUUCGAUGGUAAGCGAUUUGCCUACCAUGGUUGUAACGGGUAACGGGGAAUCAGGGUUCGAUUCCGGAGAGGGAGCAUGAGAAAUGGCUACCACAUCUACGGAAGGCAGCAGGCGCGCAAAUUACCCACUCCUAGAACGGGGAGGUAGUGACGAAAAAUAACAAUACCGGACUCAAUGAGGCUCGGUAAUUGAAAUGAGUACAGUUUAAAACCCUUAACGAGGAUCUAUUGGAGGGCAAGUCUGGUGCCAGCAGCCGCGGUAAUUCCAGCUCCAAUAGCGUAUAUUAAAGUUGUUGCAGUUAAAAAGCUCGUAGUUGGAUCUCGGGUACUAGCAUGUGGUACGCUUAAUUGCUGUUACUACAUGUCUGGUCCUAAUCAACCGGUUGGCCGUUGAUGUCCUUUAUUGGGUGUUUUCGGUAGCCGGUACGUUUACUUUGAGAAAAUUAGAGUGCUUAAAGCAGGCCUUACGCCUGAAUAAUGUUGCAUGGAAUAAUAGAAUAGGACCUCGGUUCUAUUUUGUUGGUUUUGUAGAGCAUUGAGGUAAUGAUU